GGAAAAACCUGAAAUGAAACCCAGGUUUCUGGCUUGGAGAACUGAGUGAUUGACAGUGACCUUAACUGCAAUUGCCAAUAGAAGAGUUUUGAGCAUGCUGAAUAAGAAACGUCAUUGACCACUGGAAACAUAAGGCAGAAAGCAUAUCCAAUUCAUUUGUGUAUCACCAUGCCAUUGGGAAAGACCCUGAUGCUGGGAAAGAUUCAGGGCAAGAGAAGAAGGGGGCGACAGAGGAUGAGAUGGUUGGAUGGCAUCACUGACCCAAUGGACAAUGAAUCUGAGCAAACUCAGGGAGAUAGCGAAGCACAGGAAAGCCUGGCAUGCUGCAGUUCAUAGGGUCUCAAAGAGACACAACUUAGCAACUGAGCAACAACAACAAUGCCUGGAAUAAAACAGUCCUUCAGUAAAUACUUGGUCCAGCAGGCCUAGCUUUCUGAUCUUGGCGGGAGUGCAUGUACGCAUGCUCAGUUAUGUCCGACUCUGCAACCCCAUGGACCAGGCUCCUCUGUGUCCAUGGAAUUUUCCAGGCAACAAUACUGAAGUGGGUUGCCAUUUCCUCCUCCAGGGGAUCUUCCUGACCCAGAGAUCAAACUUGCGUGCCCUCCGUCUCCUGCCUUGCCAGUCGUAUUCUUACCACUGCACUGCACCACCGGGAAGUUUGGGGAAGUCACUGAAUCUUGCCAGCCUCAGUUUCCUCAUCUGCAAAUGGUGAUUAUGAUAUUCUGUAGUUGUAGGACUGCUGAGAGG
ensembl:lncRNA